GGAAGGAUGAGAAGCUUCGACUAAGGUUCGACUCGAGCGAAGCGAGAGAACGUUGCCGCAGGCAACGGCCCGAAGGCGAGGCGCUUUAGCGCCGAGUAAUCCUUCCCCCACCACUG
rnacentral:sRNA from 1 species